rnacentral:rRNA from 1 species
CCUACGGGAGGCAGCAGUAGGGAAUAUUGGACAAUGGACGCAAGUCUGAUCCAGCCAUCCCGCGUGAAGGAUUAAGGCCCUAUGGGUUGUAAACUUCUUUUCUUUGGGAAUAAAAAGCGGUAUUCAUAUCGCCUUGAAGGUACCAGAGGAAUAAGCACCGGCUAACUCCGUGCCAGCAGCCGCGGUAAUACGGAGGGUGCAAGCGUUAUCCGGAUUCACUGGGUUUAAAGGGUGCGUAGGUGGCUUUGUAAGUCAGCGGUGAAAGCCUGGAGCUCAACUCCAGAAUUGCCAUUGAUACUGCAGAGCUUGAAUCAAGUUGAGGUGGAUGGAAUAUUACAUGUAGCGGUGAAAUGCUUAGAUAUGUAAUAGAACACCGAUUGCGAAGGCAGUUCACUAAGCUUGUAUUGACACUGAGGCACGAAAGCGUGGGGAUCAAACAGGAUUAGAUACCCUGGUAGUCCACGCCCUAAACGAUGCAAACUCGACAUUAGCGAUAUACAGUUAGUGUCCAAGCGAAAGCGUUAAGUUUGCCACNGGAGACGACGCGAGUAGAACGACGAAGAAGUAGACGCGNGAGAGNGCGACGACGACGACGAGGGAGGAGG